rnacentral:rRNA from 1 species
CCUCGGGAGGCAGCAGUGGGGAAUCUUGCACAAUGGGGGAAACCCUGCAUGCAGCGAUGCCGCGUGAGUGAAGAAGGCCCUUGGGUUGUAAAACUCUUUCGUCGGGGAAGAAAAUGACUGUACCCGAAUAAGAAGGUCCGGCUAACUUCGUGCCAGCAGCCGCGGUAAUACGAAGGGACCUAGCGUAGUUCGGAAUUACUGGGCUUAAAGAGCUCGUAGGUGGUUAAAAAAGUUGAUGGUGAAAUCCCAAGGCUCAACCUUGGAACUGCCAUCAAAACUUUUUAGCUAGAGUGUGAUAGAGGUAAGUGGAAUUUCUAGUGUAGAGGUGAAAUUCGUAGAUAUUAGAAAGAACACCAAAUGCGAAGGCAACUUACUGGGUCACUACUGACACUGAGGAGCGAAAGCAUGGGUAGCGAAGAGGAUUAGAUACCCUCGUAGUCCAUGCCGUAAACGAUGUGUGCUGGACGUUGGAAAUAUAUUUUUCAGUGUCGCAGCGAAAGCAUUAAGCACACCGCCUGGGGAGUACGACCGCAAGGUUAAAACUCAAAUGAAUUGACGG